rnacentral:rRNA from 1 species
GACGAACGCUGGCGGCGUGCUUAACACAUGCAAGUCGAACGGAAAGGCCUCUUUCGGGGGGUACUCGAGUGGCGAAAGGGUGAGUAACACGUGAGUAUCCUGCCCUUGACUUUGGGAUAACUUCUGGAAAAUGGGGGUAAUACCGGAUAGGAGAUCCUGCUCCACGGUGGGGGGUGGGAAGUUUCGGGGGUUGGGGAUGGGGUCGCGGCGUAUCAGCUUGUUUGUGGGGUGGUGGCGUACCAAGGGUUUGUCGGGUAUCCGGGCCGGGAGGGUGUGCGGCCACAAUUGGGCUGGGAUUCGGCCCAGACUCCUUCGGGGAGCAGCAGUGGGGAAUAUUGCACAAUGGGUGGGAGCCUGAUGCAGCAACGCCGUGUGCGGGAAGACGGCCUUCGGGUUGUAAACCGCUUUCGCUCAUGACGAAGGUUUGUGUGACGGUAGUGGGUAAAGAAGCACCGGCUAACUACGUG